CCACACUGUAGCAGUAAGCAGAAGAACAGACAGUUAAUGAAUGAUACACGUGAACUCCCAAACUCAAGCACACACACACACACAGUCAGCAUAUAACUUUGUCCAAGUGGUAGUAAGAAUGUUUGUCUUAACUAGCCUGAUAACUCAAACAUGUCUGAUAUGAACAUUGACAUAAACCCUCUACAUACUUGAGUUUCUCCAGUCUGCAGUGUGGAUCCUCCAGUCCAACAGAGAGCAGUCUGACUCCUGAGUCUCCUGGGUGAUUGUAGCUCAGGUCCAGCUCUCUCAGGUGUGAGGGGUUUGACUUCAGAGCUGAGGCCAGAGAAGCACAGCCUUCCUCUGUGACUUGACAGCGUGACAGCCUGCAAAGAGUCAAAUCAUUUUAUUUAUAUUUCCCCCUUUUUCAAUCUUGGCUCAUCGCUGCAGCUCCCUAACGGGCUCGGGAGAGGUGAAGGUGGACUCAUACAUCCUCUGAAAUAUGACUAACCGCACUUAACACCCGCCAGCUAAGCCAGAAGCCAGCCACACCAAUGUGUCGGAAGAAACACUGUUCAACUGGCGUCCGGGGUCAGCCCACAAGCACCCGGCCCGCCACAAGAGUCGGUAGAGUGCGAUGAGCCAAGUACAGCCCCACCAGCUAAACCCUCCCCUCCCCUGUGUCGUUCUAUGGAACUCCCGACCACGGCCGGUUGUGGCACAGGACCGUAGUAACACCUCUAGCAGUGCCUUAGACCACUGCGCCACUCGGAAGCCCUGUAAAAUCCUUUUUAAACCACACUGCUAUACUUUGGUGGUGAAAAUAGAGUGAGCAGCUCUGGAGGCUUUGACCACUGGCAGCAGCCUCAGAAGACCUUUCUCUGAUCUGGUGUAUUUCUUCAGGUCAAACACAUCCAGCUCCUCUUCUGAAGUCAGCAACACAAAGACCAGAGCUGACAACUGUGCAGUGUGGACCUGUCUCUUCUUUCCCAGCAUACUUGCCAUUCUUCUGAUUGGUAAGAAACUCCACAAGGUGUAUGUACAUCUCAGUCAGAGUCUUGGGCAUCUCUUCUCUCUUAUGUU